AACGAACGCUGGCGGCAGGCUUAACACAUGCAAGUCGAACGCGUGUAGCAAUACACGAGUGGCGCACGGGUGAGUAACGCGUGGAUAUCUGCCUUUUGGUUCGGAAUAACUCCGGGAAACUGGAGCUAAUACCGGAUGGUUCCUACGGGAUAAAGAUUUAUCGCCAAAAGAUGAGUCCGCGUACGAUUAGCUAGUUGGUGGGGUAAUGGCCCACCAAGGCGACGAUCGUUAGCUGGUCUGAGAGGACGAUCAGCCACACUGGGACUGAGACACGGCCCAGACUCCUACGGGAGGCAGCAGUGGGGAAUAUUGGACAAUGGGGGCAACCCUGAUCCAGCCAUGCCGCGUGAGUGAUGAAGGCCUUCGGGUUGUAAAGCUCUUUUGGCGGGGACGAUGAUGACGGUACCCGCAGAAUAAGCCCCGGCUAACUCCGUGCCAGCAGCCGCCGUAACAC
rnacentral:rRNA from 1 species